GAAUCUCAUGCCCCCUUCAACAUUUACAUUAAUGCAAGAAAAGAAAGAGAGAGAGACUCUCGACUCUUGAUGCUUUCCUCUUCUGGUCGUUUAGAAAAACAAAGAAAGCCGUGAAGGUUUCAGGCUGGUUCAUCGACAGUCUCUCUAGGGCUUUCUCUGAUUAAUCCAAUCCAGUAAUAAAUGAUACGAACAGGUAAUAUGGCUUUCAAAAUACUUGAAACAAAUUCGUAAACGGAUGGAUGAAAAGGGGAAAACCCAACAGAAAAGAAAAGAAAAAGGAAAGAAAAAGGCAGCUAAGCCCAACAUGAUAAUUCGUUUCAAAAUCUUAUUAUUAGCGGUGCCAUCAUAAUUAUCAUUAUCCCUAUUAUUGUCAAAAGAGAAAUGAUACUGUUAUUUGGGAAAAGAAGGUCAUCAUUUCUAUCUUGAUGAAGGUUAUAAUCUCCAUUUAACGUUUCAAUGAACUGUCAGUCAAGGGGGAAAAAAUAAAACAAA
rnacentral:misc_RNA from 1 species